UACGAAGGGGGCUAGCGUUGCUCGGAAUCACUGGGCGUAAAGGGCGCGUAGGCGGCGUUUUUAAGUCGGGGGUGAAAGCCUGUGGCUCAACCACCAGAAUGGCCUCGAUACUGGACGCUUGAGUAUGGUAGAGGUUGGUGGAACUGCGAGUGUAGAGGUGAAAAUUCGUAGAUAUUCGCAAGAACACCGGUGGCGAAGGCGGCCAAACUGGACCAUUACUGACGCUGAGGCGCGAAAGCGUGG
rnacentral:rRNA from 1 species